rnacentral:snoRNA from 2 species
CGCGUUGACAUGAUCGACACCUAGGCUGAUGUAAAGCCGUCGCAGAUGGACGUUGAGUGGCGCACGCCGUGAAACCAACCCCGCCUCGUCUGAUCG